AAUUUGAAAUCAUAAUCCAAUCAACAGAGGACUGAAAUUAGGGUUCUUCCAAAACCCUAACCCAAACUAAUUGAAGCCAAUUUCCUCUAGAAAACUCGUGAUUCUCGUUGAUAUUCAAUUCAAUGGCGGGACUGGAAGAGUGCAAGGCGAAUUUGGUAGUUUACCUUCACCCCUCCAAGGCAAACUGCGCUAGCGACGCCAUUCUCAGUGAGCUUAGCACUCUGCUAUUCUCGUAUAAUGAGACUUUUGGUGGAGUGGUAUUGGCAUAUGAUCCGAAUAUACGUUCUAAUUUGGCAAAGAUUGUGCCCGGAACUUUUACAUGUUUUGGCGUGCAAUUAAAGGCUAAGCUGUUGCUUUUCAAUCCGAAGUCCGACAUGGUAUUAGAAAGGCGAAGAAGAAAUGUAUGUUAGUCGAACUCACAGGAAGCAUAAGAUAAAAUUGGGACCAUUGUACGUUUUUCCGUGAAGAGCUUUGAUGAAGAGAUACUUCACAUAUCAGGAUCUUUACUUGCUCACCAUACAGGAGGUGUUCGAUGGUUGGAUAAUAACUUGGAAGACUGGUCUCGAGCUGACAGUACUGCUACAAAGAGGAACACUGGCGAUAUGAAAUUAGAGAAUGAUACAUUGACAACCUAUUGGGAAAUAUUUUUGAAAUCUGAUGAGCAGUUGAGAAACCAAAGAAAAAAAGAAGACAACAUACUUGAAGUUUAAUGAAAAGACAGACAAUGCAUGAUUCAAAAACUUAGAUACGUUUUGAUGAGAUAAAAGCAUCACAAUGGACGUCCUUGCCGCCGUAUAAUUUUCUGAAUGAAGAGAAGUUAUCAUCAUACCGGGUUUGAUCAUCAUCUAUCCUCAUGCCCAAUGUAGAUUUUUUCAUCUUUCCAUUAGCGAAGUAGAUCUUUGUCAAUCAAUGUAGGCUGUAGCAUUGCUAAGCUACUAAGAUUACGUUUUUGGCAUUUAUGGUGCGUCAUACAUUCCUUAGAUUUUUCAAAUGAUUGUGUAAUUUGUAAUUGCAGUUUUAAGAGAAUCGUGCAAAAUGUGAUACCAUUACUGCUUUGUCAUAUACGGAAUCCGAACUGAAUAUCCACUUCCUCAGUAAGCCCUGAAUAGUUACUGGCUCAUAUACUUGUUAGCUUAAUCUUUGCAUUUCUUUGUGCUAGGUAGGGCACAUGAGCGCAUGAUUUUGUUCGAGAUGUAAUGUUUUGUAACCCUUUGUUCGAGUUCUAUUUGGAUCUGAUUUUGCAGAUCUGGUAUGACUACUUCCCUUCUGCUUUUGAUGAAGAAUCCUUUUCAAAUCCAGCUAUUUUGUGGCCACUACAUCUAGUGGAUUUAGCAGUUAGUGAUUGAUUGGGAAUAUGUGAGGCUACAUUGUAUGCAUAAUGCACAAAAUCUUUGAUCAUUAGGUGAUGCAAGUGUAGCCUAGCUCCUUUCUGGGACAGAUGUCAAAAUCAAUAGUGUUUUACUAUACAACAAAUCUGAAUUAUUAUGCUAUGGGAGAAUCAGAUGCA